UACGGAGGGUGCAAGCGUUAUCCGGAUUCACUGGGUUUAAAGGGUGCGUAGGCGGGCAGGUAAGUCCGUGGUGAAAUCUCUGAGCUUAACUCAGAAACUGCCAUGGAUACUAUUUGUCUUGAAUAUUGUGGAGGUAAGCGGAAUAUGUCAUGUAGCGGUGAAAAUGCUUAGAUAUGACAUAGAACACCAAAUUGCGAAGGCAGCUUACUACACAGUUAUUGACGCUGAGGCACGAAAAGCGUGGGGGAUCAAAACAGG
rnacentral:rRNA from 1 species